rnacentral:lncRNA from 1 species
AGCGCCACCAUGCCAGAGAGAGCGGCAACUUCCCACAGGUUGCAAAUGAGUCCGCGUGAUGGGGACCUAUAGAAUAAACAGUGGCUGGAGGAUGAUACACCAAAGAAGGAAAGAAACAAGUGAACUCAAAUCAAAGAAUUCACAUCAGCUUUUUUGAAAGGGGAAAACCAAAAACGUCAAUUGCAAGCCUCAACCCCCUUCUUCUUCCCCAAACUGUUUUUCCUUUUGGUUUAUUUCUGCAUCAGAGUCUACCUAGGUUUCAAAACCAAUUUUCCAUUUUCCUAGAACCAGCCAAAUAUGGAGUGUGUGCAAAAACAUGGUAGCUUAAAAGAAGAAGAAGUAGACAAUUAUCAAAGGGAAGAGGGAGGAAGGAAAGAGAAGGGAAAUAAAGAGAGAUGACACAAGGGAACUGGACCAGAUAAAGACAAAGCAAUGCACUUAACCCACCUGGAGAGCACAUCGGACCAGCAAGGCGCUCUCAGCCAAUCGCCUGGGUCUGCGGCUGGGAGGAGAGUCCGCAUGGGUUCAUUUGGCUGAGGAGUGUGUUUCAUAAACCUUACGGUGCAGCUAUGAAAGCUAUCAGGAUCUUCCCACGUUUCCUGUCAUUCCGUGGAGAUUGGCUGCUGGAGUGCUUGGUUGGGGGGGCGGUGGGGAGUGGAGGUGGUAGGGGAAGAGGAUGCUUGGGUUGUUGAGGGGAGACUGGCUCUGGUGGGAAGUGGAAUCACACAGGAAUUUAUUUUAAGUGCAUAAACAAAAUGAAAUGAGGAAAAAAAGAAAAAAAACCAGUGUAUUCCUUUUGGGUCAUGUGAGAGAGCCACUGGCAAAGAUGAGGGGGCAAUGAGAAAGGAAGAGAGAAAAAGAGAGAGAGAGGCAAAAAGCUUUCUAUGAUUUGGGGCACUGGUGAAGCACACUGAGGCAGCUGGAAGAUUAAAUUAAGUAUCAUAUCUGCUGACCCUAUUGCCAUGGUUACCGGACAGCGGAAAAU